UACGUAGGGGGCUAGCGUUGUCCGGAUUUAUUGGGCGUAAAGAGCGUGUAGGCGGCCAGGUAGGUCUGCUGUGAAACUCGAGGCUCAACCUCGAGACGUCGGCGGAAACCAUCUGGCUAGAGUCCGGAAGAGGAGAGUGGAAUUCCUGGUGUAGCGGUGAAAUGCGCAGAUAUCAGGAGGAACACCGAUGGCGAAGGCAGAUCUCUGGGCCUAACUGACGCUGAGGAGCGAAGCCAGGGAGCAAACGGG
rnacentral:rRNA from 1 species